rnacentral:lncRNA from 1 species
CGGGGGAUGACAGAGUUAAAACUCUAAAAGAUUAACACUGGCUCGCUCACAGGCUUACACGCUGCCCUGAAGCAUUUGUCUAAGAGCUUAAAAAAAAAAAAAAAAAAAAAAGGCAAGAGAGAAAAUUGCCCAAAAUCUAUCUCAGGAAGCACCCUCCUUCUAGGGGAAAAAACUCUGGUCCUGAUGUUUUGCUGUCUGACCCUGCCCGGGUCUACAUCCUGUUACCUUACUCUUGAAGAAGGCUAAGAAAAAUGCCUGUCAUGUUCCAGACUGAUCUCCUAGGUUAUGAGAGGAGUGCGAAAGGAAGUCAAUAGAAUUCUUCUUCACUGUGACACAGGAAACGAAAUGAGAACGAGCAAGCAAGUUAACGCUGGAGAGAGGAUGGGACAAUGCAAGACCGAAGUUGUGACUUCGGGGAGAGGACACAGGAUGUGGUCUGAAAUCUUUCACGGUGGCCUCGCAGACAUCUCUGCGUUUGUUAAGAGAUAA